UACGGAGGGGGUUAGCGUUGUUCGGAAUUACUGGGCGUAAAGCGUGCGCAGGCGGUUUUGUAAGUCUGACGUGAAAUCCCCGGGCUCAACCUGGGAAUUGCGUUGGAGACUGCAAGGCUAGAAUCUGGCAGAGGGGGGUAGAAUUCCACGUGUAGCAGUGAAAUGCGUAGAGAUGUGGAGGAAUACCGAUGGCGAAGGCAGCCCCCUGGGAUAACACUGACGCUCAUGCACGAAAGCGUGGGGAGCAAACAGG
rnacentral:rRNA from 1 species